CACCCAGGCUGGAGCACAAUGGCACAAUCUCAGCUCAUCGCAACCUCUGCCUUCCGAGUUGAAGCGAUUCUCCUGCCUCAGCCUCCCAAGUAGCUAGGUUACAAGCCCACACCACCACACCUGGCUAAUUUUGUAUUUUUAGUCGAGAUGCGAUUUCUCCAUGUUAGUCAGGCAGGUCUCACUCAAACUCCUGACCUCAGGUGAUCCACCCACCUUGGCCUGCCAAAGUGUUUGGAUUACAGGCGUGAGCCACCUCGCCCGGCCAUUUUGUUAUUUUUAACAUUGUUGUUUCUUUCAGGUCAGGUUCUCUGGGAAAUGGGACUCAUUUUGCAGCAAGUUUGUUGGUGAUCCACACCUGUUUUUUGAGGUAGGGUCUGAAUUUGUUUGUUGCCCAGGCUGGAGGGCAGUGGCAGGAUCAAUGCAGUCUCAGCUUCCUGGGCUUAAGCAAUUCUCCCACCCCAGCCUCCCAAGUAGCUGGGACCACAGGCAUGCACCACCACAUCUGGCUCGCUUAUUUUUAGUUUGCUUUUGUUUUUGUUUUUCAGUCGGAGUCUCUCACUCUGUUGCCCAGGCUGGAAUGCAAGGGCACAAUCGGCUCACUGCAACCUCCGCCUCCUGGGUUCAAGCAAUUCUUCUGUCUCAGCCUCUUGAGUAGCUGGGAUUACAGGCACCUGCCACCACACCCAGCUAAUUUUUGUAUUUUUUAGUAGAGACCGGGUUUUACCACGUUGGUCAGGCUGGUUUCAAACUCCUGACCUUGUGAUCCGCCCACCUUGGCCUCCCAAAGUGCUGGGAUUACAGGCGUGAGCUUCUGCACCCAGCCGUUAUUUUUAGUUUUUGUAGAGAUGAGGGGCUCACUAUAUGGCCCAGGCUAGUCUCGAACUGGUGGGCUCAAGUGAUCCUCCCACCUCAGCCUCCCACAAUGCUGAGAUUAUAGGCGUGAGCCAUCGCACCUGGCCAGGAUCCACAUCUUUAAGGGAGUAAAACAAGCAGAAUUGGGCAGAUGCAAUUAUAGCCCUUGGAGAGAUGCGAUUAUAUUAUAGGCCUCAGCCUAUCCCACUGGGACGUCUGAAACUGGGCAGCACUACUGAAGGGUUCAUGUUCACGAGAUGGUACCAUGCCUUUGCAACCGAAUAUUGACUGAGAGACUCAGUGGUGUGACCUCAGCAGCCCACACUCCUCGCAUUUGGAGAAUGAGUGCCUCUGUCCUGAAGGGUGGAUUUGGGUGGUGGACUGAACAUCCACUAAAUUAUUACCACCUUGUAGUCCCUUUCCUGGGUCCCUGUAAUUCUCAAGAUAAACAUAGCUGCCCAGUUGUGGUGACUCGUACCUGUAAUCCCAAAACUUUGGGAGGCUGAGGGAGGCAGAUCGCUUGAGCUCAGGAGGCUGCAGUGAGCUAUGAUGGUGACACUGUACUCCAGACUUGGUGACAGAUCGAGACGCUGUCUAAACAAAAAAGAUAAACACACUUUUCAUGACCCUAUCCUCCCACCCCCGACCACACCCCUCUUUACAACAGCCUGUCACCUCUCACUUCUCCGGAGAGGUACACACCCUCCUCAGAGUCAGGUCAACACAGUUUCCAUCCUGUGAUGUUGACGUCAUCUUCAUUCAUAUCUGCACACUGCCCACCACCCCAGGUUGAGGCCAAGUCUAGCAAAUCCCUGUCUCCUGUCCUGAGCACUAAGAGGUUCUGGGUGGGCUGGUCAAGACUUGUUGAUCACAAGUACAUCCCGCCCACCCCUGCUCAGGGAAGUGGCGCCCAGCCCUCCCCACCCUCCAUGCAAAUGCUUUUUCCUGUUGGGAAUAAAAUGCCAGAGACUCAGCUUCCUUCCUUUCUGUCAGUGGCCUUGGGGAGGGAGGAGCCUUGGUGGGAAAAAGGGGCUUCUGGGCUGGGGAGUGAGAGAAAGACUUCCUUGGGGAGAGGAAUUCAGCUGCACGCUGGAGUCAGCUGGAGUCACAUAGGCCCUGUGAGCAAGUGGCAGGCGUGCCCAGCUCCAUCGGGGGAGAGGGCUGUUCUCAAGGUCAAGGUCAUUUGGGAAGGGCGAACUGGACGCCUGAUCAAAUCUGAGUACCAGGAAGAACCUCCUUCCUCCUUCUCAGAAGGGCCUAGACAGAGGCAGCAGCUCAGAGGGGCAUCUACUCUGCCUGCUUGCCCCGGGCCCACCUCAGCCCCGGCUCCUCCAGGCCCGCAAUGGACUCAGCAGCCAAGGAUGAAAUGCGGCCCACGUUGUCCCCUGCCGGAGCAGCUGGCCAGGCUAGGCCAGUACCGCAGCCGAGAGGUGCAGCGUACCUGCUCUCUGGAAGCACGCCUCAAGUCAGUGAUGCAGUCAUACCUGGAAGGCGUGCAGACUGGUGUGUGGCAGCUGGCCCGGGCCCUUGAGGCCGUGAAGGAAACCCGGGAAGCCCUGAGCCAGGCUCGUGGGUUGCUCCAGGGCAUGUCCCAGGCCUCACAGCCCCUACAGCCCCUACGGGAGCAGGUUGCCCAGCACAAGCAACUGCAGGCCCUGUCUCAGUUGUUGCCUCGGCUACGGGCAGUGCCAGCUGCAGUGGCCCACACAGAGAUCCUGAUUGAUGCCCAACAGUUCUUGGAGGCAUAUGUGAGCCUUCGGGAGCUGGAGCAGCUGCGAGAGGAUACAUGGGCACUCCUGGGAGUCCUGGAGUUGCCAGUCUUCCAGGGGCUGGACCUUCUGGCUGAAGCACUGGGCCAGGCUGUGGAAGCAGCUGCAGGGACUGCAGGGAAGCUGGCACGGGAGGACCCAGCCCUUCUGGUGGCUGCUGUGCGUGUGGCGGAGGUAGAGACUGGACGAACAACCGCCUUAGGCCAGGCCCCCCGGGACUGGCGGCAGCGCUGUCUGCAGGCAUUACAGGAGGGUCUGGAGCGGGCCCACUUCGGGUCACCUCUGCUGCCUGUACCAGGGGCCCUAGCAGAGUGGCUGGAGGCUCUGCGAGUGGCUCUGCCAGUUGAGUUGGCCACAGCUGAGGCACUAGUGGUGCCUUGCUGCCCACCACACUACAACGUGGUCCAGCUAUGGGCCUACACCCUGCACAGUGGCCUGCGCCGCAGCCUGCAGCACCUCCUUACAGGGCCUGAGCUGGGAGCUGCUGAUGCCUUCACCUUGCUACACUGGGCACUGCAUGUGUACCUAGGGCAGGAAAUGAUGGGGAGCCUAGAGUUGGGGCCUGAGGCUGAUGUGUCCCAGCUGGAGCCUCUCCUGACCGUGGAGAACAUUGAGCAGCUGGAGGCAACAUUUGUGGCCAAUGUCCAGGCAAAUGUGGCCCAGUGGCUGCAGAACGCACUGGAUGAGGAGGUAGCUGAGUGGGGCCGGAAGCAGGAGCCCAACACAGACUCGUCUGGCUCCUAUUACUCACCAUUGCCAGCCAUUGUGAUGCAGAUCCUGGAGGAGAACAUUCGUGUGGCCAGCCCGGUCAGUGAGUCACUGCAACGGCGGGUGCAAGGCAUGGCACUGUCAGAACUGGGCGUAUUCCUGAGGAGGUCUGCGGAGGCAUUCACCCAUUCCUGAUCCCGAUCCCUGCUCCCCAGGCAGCCCAAAGGGGGUCUGAGUGAAUAAGACAGCACAGGGAAAGAGCUGUCAAUCAAAUACUUGGCUUCAGUGAUGCUCUGAUCCGAUUCUCCCGAGACCACCUCAGGGGGGAAGCAGUGGCCCCUCAUUACGUGCCCUACUUACUGGCCACCCUCAACCACCAGUUAGCACUCAG